GAUGAAGAACGUAGCAAAAUGCGAUACUUGGUGUGAAUUGCAGAAUCCCGUGAACCAUCGAGUUUUUGAACGCAAGUUGCGCCCGAAGCCUUUUGGCCGAGGGCACGUCUGCCUGGGCGUCACGCAUCGCGUCGCCCCCCACAAUUCUCCGUAAAAGGAACAUGUGUUUUGGGGGCGGAUAUUGGUCUCCCGUGCUCAUGGCGUGGUUGGCCGAAAUAGGAGUCCUUUCGAUGGACGCACGAACUAGUGGUGGUCGUAAAAACCCUCGUCUUUUGUUUCGUGCUGUUGCUCGCAAGGUAAACUCUUUAAAAACCCCAAUGUGUCGUCUCUUGACGACGCUUCGACCGCGACACCAGGUCAGGCGGGACUACCCGCUGAGUUUAAGCAUAUCAAUAAGCGGAGGA
rnacentral:misc_RNA from 1 species